UUGUGGUUGCCACACCUCCUUUUGGCGCGCCUGCCCCGGAUGAUAGAUGCACAAGGGGGUUUUUCCAAUUUAAGUGACAAUAUUCGAAAUGAGAUUAUUUAUUUAUUUCAGAGUAGCCACUUGGGAAGGAUUUGGCUUUUGGUGUCUCAAGUCACCGGUUUAUCUUGAAUCCAAAUUCGACGAAAAUAUUCGACUUUCCAAAUGAAGUUUGCGAACCAGAAAUUCUAAGCAAGGAAUUCUGUUGACCCGGGGGAAGGUGUUAGGCACCCCCGAAUCUCGUGGUUCUAGCGCGGUCGCUUAAAUUGUUGUAAUGGCUAAAUAUCUGGUUUUAAUACAUGUUAUAACUUAUGUGCUUUUAUUAACUAUAAAUCGCUUGUAUUAUUAUUUUUAAUAGAAUUGCAAC
rnacentral:lncRNA from 1 species